UACGGAGGGUGCGAGCGUUAAUCGGAAUAACUGGGCGUAAAGGGCACGCAGGCGGGUUUUUAAGUGGGAUGUGAAAUCCCCGGGCUUAACCUGGGAAUAGCAUUUCAGACUGGGUGACUAGAGUAUGUUAGAGAGUGGUGGAAUUCCCCGUGUAGCGGUGAAAUGCGUAGAGAUGGGGAGGAACACCGGUGGCGAAGGCGGCCACUUGGGCUAGUACUGACGCUGAGGUGCGAAAGCGUGGGGAGCAAACAGG
rnacentral:rRNA from 1 species